UACGUAGGCAGCGAGCGUUGUUCGGAGUUACUGGGCGUAAAGGGGGUGUAGGCGGUUGUUUAAGUUUGGUGUGAAAUCUCCCGGCUCAACUGGGAGGGUGCGCCGAAUACUGAAUGACUAGAGUGUGGGAGAGGUGAGUGGAAUUCCUGGUGUAGCGGUGAAAUGCGUAGAUAUCAGGAGGAACACCGGUGGUGUAGACGGCUCACUGGACCAUAACUGACGCUGAGACACGAAAGCGUGGGUAGCAAACAGG
rnacentral:rRNA from 1 species